rnacentral:rRNA from 1 species
GAUGAACGCUAGCGGCAGGCCUAACACAUGCAAGUCGAGGGGCAGCACAGAAACAGCAAUGUUUUGGUGGCGACCGGCGGACGGGUGCGUAACGCGUAUGCAACCUACCUUUAACAGGGGGAUAACGGAGAGAAAUUUCCACUAAUACCCCAUAACAUCGAUCAAGGCAUCUUGAUUGGUUGAAAACUCCGGUGGUUAAAGAUGGGCAUGAAUUGUAUUAGGUAGUGGGUGAGGUAAUGGCUCACCAAGCCUACGAUACAUAGGGGGACUGAGGGGUUAGCCCCCCACACUGGUAAUGAGACACGGACGAGACUCCUACGGGAGGCAGCAGUGAGGAAUAUUGGUCAAUGGGGGCAACCCUGAACCAGCCAUGCCGCGUGCAGGAAGACGGCUCUAUGAGUUGUAAACUGCUUUUAAACAGGGAUAAAGCACAGUAUGUAUACUGUGUUGAAGGUACUGUAAGAAUAAGGAUCGGCUAACUCCGUGCCAGCCGCCGCAGUAA